CCUACGGGCGGCAGCAGUGAGGAAUAUUGGUCAAUGGUCGGGAGACUGAACCAGCCAAGCCGCGUGAGGGAUGAAGGUACAGAGUAUCGUAAACCUCUUUUGUCAGGGAACAAAGGCGGGGACGUGUCCCCGGAUGAGUGUACCUGAAGAAAAAGCAUCGGCUAACUCCGUGCCAGCAGCCGCGGUAAUCCGGGGGAUGCGAGCGUUAUCCGGGUUUAUUGGGUUAAAAGGGUGCGCAGGCGGUCUGUUAAGUCAACGGUCAAAGCCCGGGGCUCAACCCCGGCCCGCCGUUGAAACUGGCAGUCUCGAGUUGGAGAGAAGUAUGCGGAAUGCGCGGUGUAGCGGUGAAAUGCAUAGAUAUCGCGCAGAACUCCGAUUGCGAAGGCAGCAUACCGGCUCCACACUGACGCUGAGGCACGAAAGCGUGGGUAUCGAACAGGAUUAGAUACCCCGGUAGUC
rnacentral:rRNA from 1 species